rnacentral:rRNA from 1 species
CGCCAGCAGCCGCGGUAAUACGUAGGGGGCGAGCGUUGUCCGGAUUUACUGGGCGUAAAGAGCGCGUAGGCGGCUCGAUAAGUUGGCUGUGAAAGGUCCUGGCUCAACUGGGAUAAGUCAGCCGAGACUGUCGGGCUAGAGGGCGGUAGAGGAAGGUGGAAUUCCGGGUGUAGUGGUGAAAUGCGUAGAUAUCCGGAGGAACACCGGUGGCGAAGGCGGCCUUCUGGGCCGUACCUGACGCUGAGGCGCGAAAGCGUGGGGAGCGAACUGAAUUAGAUACUCAGGUAGUCCACGCCCUAAACGAUGGACGCUAGGUGUAGGGGGUAUCGACCCCUCCUGUGCCGAAGCUAACGCAUUAAGCGUCCCGCCUGGGGAGUACGGCCGCAAGGCUAAAACUUAAAGGAAUUGGCGGGGGAU